ensembl:lncRNA
CUGGCAGCUGCUUCUCCUGGGAUGGCAUAACCAAGGGCAGAGCAGUUCCUCUUGGUGAAGGAACACAGCAGGAGCUGGCGGCUGGACAGAGGCUGCUGUGACCCAGGACUCCAGUUGUCCCAGGAUAAAAACCAAAUGCUUGACAUGAUCUCCAGGGGUCCCUGAAAAUAACACUGUACCAGGCAAUGAGAGCAACCUGCUGAUCAAGCCUUCCUUCAGGAAGCAGAGCCUCUCACAGUCCCAGGAGCCACUCCAAGUUUCAAGAAAGAUGGAUGUCUCAAGGCAGACAGCAGCCUACACUAAGAGACUUCGGACUUUUAAAAGAACUUUGGACAUUUGAGCUGAUAGACGUUUUGAAGACUUUGGAGUUAGACUGCUUUAUAUUAUUAUAUUAACAUGAGAUUUUGGGGACAAGGGUGAAAAGUUAUGGCUUAAAGUGAUAUGUUUGUAUGUCAAUUUACAAAUUAUAGAUUGUGCUGGUUGGUUUUAACUGUCAGAUUGGCACAACCUAGGAUCACCUGGGGGAAGUCCCAGUGAGAAAUUAUCUAAAAGCAGCUGACCUGUGGGCAUGUCUGUGGAAGACAGUCUUGAUGGUUUAUUCAUGUAGAAAGACCCAAUGCAUUGUGGAAACUGCCAUUCCCUAGGCCAGAUGGGGAGUGUCCUAAACAGUACAGAGGACAAAGCUAGGUGAGAAUAGGCUAGCAGCAAGGAACCACUAUUGCUCUCUUAGUUCUUGACUGUGGAUGUGACUGUCACAGUUCCUGUCAUGGCUGAACUCUGAAAGGACAGACUGUAAACCUAGAGUAAGCCAAACAAACCCUUUCUCCUCUCGGUUGCUUUCUUUCAGGGAAUUUUAUCACAGCAACAUAAAUGAAAUGAGAACUCCCAAACCUUUUCUCACUCCCAUCUUCGGGAUGGGCUCUUUUGUGUUGAUAUGCUCUCUGUUUGACAUGCACCUUGAGGAUUUUUUGGAGAUUCACUAUGUAGCCCUAGCUGCCCUGAAACUCAGUCUAUAGACCAGGGCAGCCUUGAGCUUGCAGUGAUCCUCCUGACUCUAAGUGCAUGUGCCACUAAGCCCAACAGGAGCAACUUUUUUUUUUUCUUUUGGUUUUUCGAGACAGGGUUUCUCUGUGUAGCUUUGGAGCCUAUCCUGGCACUCUCUCUGGAGACCAGGCUGGCCUCAAAUUCACAGAGAUCCUCAUGCCUCUGCCUCCUGAGUGCUGGAAUUAGACUUCUCCACUCUUUUUAAGAUAGCUGUAUUCAGUCCCGCACAUAAGGCAUUUUUGUGCAUGCCCUGCUAUCCAUUCUGUUUGGAAUGUGGGUCAGGAAAAAGGGUUGUUCCAUGGACACUACUUGGGUCAUGGACCCGAUAAGAAAAUCCCUCAAAGAGACUGUCAGUAUGUGGCUACAGAGCCACUGGAGAACCUGCUUAAAGAAAAACAACAGAAAACAGAAACAGACUUAAGGUUGUGGAUGAUGUUACAUGGACUAUGGCUGAAAGCCUACCAAAUUGUGAAGGCAGGGGUUUAAGUGAGUUCACCAAACCCAAGGUAAAUAAUAAAUAGGUGUUUAUUAGGGAAGCACUUACACAGAUAAGAGUAAAUGACUGCCUAGGCCAUCCUGCCCCCAGAAGAUGCAGUCUCUGCCGUUCCGAUGCUCUCUGUAACUCAAGAGAGUAUGCCCCAGCUCUUCUUCUACCUUAAGGGGUCACUUCUGCACCUGAAACCACACCCAAAUGGUGUGGCCACUACUACAAGUUCACUGGCAAGACAAGAUGCCACUACAAUUCCCCUUUUUGUCUAAAGAAGUUUUUAAGCCUGAUACAAAAGCUAUAUACCAUGGUAACAAAUACCAAGUAUAUUCCAAGAGAAGGAAAGGUAAAAACAUACAUAAAUUAAGACCGACAACCAGCAAGAGCAACAUUGAGCAAUAAACAAAUUCUACAUGUCUAGUCCCAGGGUAAUGGCAUACAACACUACUACAAGUUCACUAGCAAGGCAAGAUGCCACUACAAAAUCAAGACUUGGGGCUUUCAGGUAUGUGUGUUAAAAUGGGUGUCCUGUUCCCUUUUUAUUCUUUUCAUCCAUUGACCCGAGAAGAGUUCAAAUCACUGGAAGAUGACAAAGCCACAAACAUUCUCCAGCUGAAGGAACACAGAGAGAAAUGUUGCUGGAUUUUCUGCUGCUCAGAACCAACUUCCUGGAGAUUUGGUGGCGACUGGGUGUAUAAUUUAGAGGGUUUUGCUUAUGUUUGUUUGAGACAUGAUCUGAAUAUGUAGUCCAAGAUGGCCUUGAAUUUGUAAUCCUCCUAGCUCCACUUCCAAAGUGCUAGGAUUACAGGCAUGCAUCACCAUGCCCAGCAUCUACGGGCGUCUUAGAGGUUGCCAAGGCAACAAGAUCCAACUUUAGAAGUAAGUUGAAACUUCUGCUUUAUUUAUGGCAGAUAACUUACACUCCUUGGCUUAAGGAAAAUCUAAGUUAGCUGAUUGAGAACAUAGGUGACCUCCAAGCCUUCCCAUGAGUUAUUGGCCCAUCGCUCCUUCAGCCAAACUUCUAUUUCUUGUAGGGCCAUUAGGAUAAGACCAGUGUAAGUGCUCAUCACAGCUCACCUUUUUGAGUACCUUGCUGUGUGUCUAGCACAGUUCUAAAACAUUUCAUAUGCAUUAAUUUAUUGACCACUCACAACUCUUGGCAGAGGAGCCAUAUAUCGAGGCCAGGCUUGUAUCAGUCCCACACUACAGAGGCUAUCUAUUCCAGACUGAAGUCUCUGGGGCUGAGAUCAAAGCCAGUCAAAUGGCCCCAGGUCCAUCUCUGAGUCAGGGGUUGCUAGACUGGGAAACUCCUAGCUACGCAAUGUCGAUAAAGACCAGACACAGACAUCUUGUCAUUUCAGGAGGGCUCUCAGUCCAUGCUGGAAACUGGAGUCUCUGGUUUAUUCUAGCAUCCUCCUAAAUAGCUUUCCAACAGUGGGGUUGACUGCAGAAGGCAUAUACUAUCAUGUAUAUAGCUGAUAUCAAGUAAUUCUUUUAAUUGUGAGUUGUUAUGAAUAAAAUUUCCAUGAACAUUAUUACCCCAUCCUUUUUAGAUAUGUACUUCAUUGAGUAAAUACCCCUGAGUGAAAUUUGUGGCUCAUAGGGUAGUUCUUCUUUAAGUUUAUAAAAACAAAAACAAAAACACCAAAUGAUUUCCUGAGGUGGUGAUGCCAUUUGUACAGAAAUAUGAGAGAAGUCCAAUUGACCCAUAUUAAGUGCUUUCAAUUUAGCAAUUAAGAGUGAGUUUGAAAUAUCACAUUGUGAUUCUACUACACAUUCUCCUGAUGACUAUGAAUACUGGGCAUAUUGUCAUGUACUUAUUUUCCAUUCAUUUAUCUUUUCAUGAACUAUCUGUUCAGAUCUUCUGGUUGUUAUGUAAAUCUUUGUCUGUUGCAUUUUUGUCACUGAUUUCUACAGGGUCCGCCUACAUUACAGUUACAAGUCCUUUGUCAGAUGUGUAUUCGAACACUUUCCACUCUGUAAUGUGUCUUUCUAUAUUCUUAGCGGCUCAGCUUAAUGAUCAGAUUUUAAUUGUACUAAUUUAUCCUUCUUUUGAGAUUAUUUUCCUUAAGAAAAACUCUGUCUAACCUCAGGAAAGUGUUCUCCUGAGUUUUAUCUCAAAACCUAAAGAAUUUUAGUGUUUCACAGUGUCUAUGUUCUACACAUGUAUAGCUCUAUAUUUCUAUACUGUUCAAUUGGACUAUUUGUGUGACCUUACCGGUUUCAGGGUACCCUGCUUGGACACCUCUUGAGAAAGGAGGUGAGAAGACCAGCACCAACAACUCAGGCACCCACUGGGAGUCAGUGAGUAGCAGAGCAUGCUGCUACCCUGCUUAGGCCUACCUUUACAACCCCCCACCCCACCCCAAGGUCCCAUUGGCUCAGGCAGAUGACUUUGCUGUGUUCUCCUUUUCUCUUUGGUGACUCCAGUCAGGUGUCUUUUGGUUGUCAGUCUCUGGGUGUAGCGGCAGGCUUGGCUCAGGGAGGAAGUGCCUUCACACAUGCUCAUGCACGCUGGUCUGGGCACCUGGGCAGGGCGACUGUGGCUUGGGUAGGCUGGCUGGCAGCUUCUCCUACACUUAUCUAAAUAAAAGCCUGCCAUUAUUACAGUAGCGUCACAAGUAUUGCUAUCAGGUGGUGUGAGUCCUUUGGCUUUGGCUAUUGUGAGUCUUUUGUAUGCCUCUUUAAGUUGCAAGCAAAAGCCAGACAUAUGUGAUACCUGUUGUCCCAGCUCUCAGAAUACUAAGCAGGGAGAUCAAGAAUUUAAUGCCAGCUUAGGCCAUAUAAAAAGACCCAGUCUCAAGAAAUAGACAACAGACUUAGCCUGUCAAUCUCUACAAAAGCCUGUUGAGAUUUCAAGUUACAUUAUUUUGGAUCUUUCAGUUAUUUUAAUUAAAGUUGACAUAUGACAGCUUUGCAUCUUGUAAUCCAUGUGCCUUUCUGUUUUAUAGUUCUGGCUUGAUAGCUUUCAAUAAUCUCUUAUAGAUUUUUAUUUGGGGGGAGUUUGUGUGUGUGUGUGUGUGUUUGUGUGUGUGUCUGUCUCUGUCUGUCUGUCAAUCUAUUGAGAAAGUGUUGUAGCCUAGAAUUGUGGCAGAUUUUGUCAUAUGCUAUUUUUGUUUCCACCGAGAUGAUUAUAUGGCAUUGUUUUGAAUUAUAUUACCAUAUAAUAUAAUUGUUAUGAUUAUAUUGCUAUAUAAUCAUAUAUACAAUAUGAUUGUAUGGUAAUUGUUUUGAAUUAUAUUGAUUAAUUUUUCCCAAUAUCUAUUUUACAUUUCUUAAGUAAGCCCCUUAGUUAUAAUGCACUGUCAUUAUUGUGACUGAAUUCCAUUUGCUAGCUUGUCUGAAGGAUUCUGUGUUUAUGUCCACAGGUAUAUUUAUCUGGCCUUUUUAUUCUUUGCCAGAUUUUAAUAUCAAAGUUAUUGUAGCUUUAUAAAAUGAAUUAUUAAAUUUUCCUUUCUCCUCUCUUUUUUAAAUUGUUUAUGUAAGACUUGUAUUUUUGUUCUUAUAGAACUCACAAGAGAUCCCCUUAGACUGGAA